AACAUGGAGAUCUGAAACCAUAAAAAAAACGAGGCGGAACCGAAAAGCCAAAAGAGUAGGAUAAU
rnacentral:ncRNA from 1 species